rnacentral:rRNA from 1 species
UACGUAGGGGGCAAGCGUUGUCCGGAUUUAUUGGGCGUAAAGAGCGUGUAGGCGGCCAUUCAGGUCAGCUGUGAAAACUCGAGGCUCAACCUCGAGACGUCGGUUGAAACCGUUUGGCUAGAGUCCGGAAGAGGAGAGUGGAAUUCCGAGUGUAGAGGUGAAAUUCGUAGAUAUUCGGAAGAACACCAGUGGCGAAGGCGGCUCACUGGACUGGUAUUGACGCUGAGGUGCGAAAGCGUGGGGAGCAAACAGG